GACGAACGCUGGCGGCGUGCCUAAUACAUGCAAGUCGAGCGCAGGAAGCCGUCCGAACCCUUCGGGGGGACGACGGUGGAAUGAGCGGCGGACGGGUGAGUAACACGUAAAGAACCUGCCCAUAGGUCUGGGAUAACCACGAGAAAUCGGGGCUAAUACCGGAUGUGUCAUCGGACCGCAUGGUCCGCUGGUGAAAGGCGCUCCGGCGUCGCCCAUGGAUGGCUUUGCGGUGCAUUAGCUAGUUGGUGGGGUAACGGCCCACCAAGGCGACGAUGCAUAGCCGACCUGAGAGGGUGAUCGGCCACACUGGGACUGAGACACGGCCCAGACUCCUACGGGAGGCAGCAGUAGGGAAUCUUCCACAAUGGACGAAAGUCUGAUGGAGCAACGCCGCGUGAACGAUGAAGGCUUUCGGGUCGUAAAGUUCUGUUGUAAGGGAAGAACAAGUGCCGCAGGCAAUGGCGGCACCUUGACGGUACCUUGCGAGAAAGCCACGGCUAACUACGUGCCAGCCGCCGCAGUAACAC
rnacentral:rRNA from 1 species